rnacentral:rRNA from 1 species
GUGGGGAAUAUUGGACAAUGGGCGCAAGCCUGAUCCAGCCAUGCCGCGUGAGUGAUGAAGGCCUUAGGGUUGUAAAGCUCUUUUGUCCGGGAAGAUAAUGACUGUACCGGAAGAAUAAGCCCCGGCUAACUUCGUGCCAGCAGCCGCGGUAAUACGAAGGGGGCUAGCGUUGCUCGGAAUCACUGGGCGUAAAGGGCGCGUAGGCGGACUCUUAAGUCGGGGGUGAAAGCCCAGGGCUCAACCCUGGAAUAGCCUUCGAUACUGAGAGUCUUGAGUUCGGAAGAGGUUGGUGGAAUUGCGAGUGUAGAGGUGAAAUUCGUAGAUAUUCGCAAGAACACCAGUGGCGAAGGCGGCCAACUGGUCCGAUACUGACGCUGAGGCGCGAAAGCGUGGGGAGCAAACAGGAUUAGAAACCCCAGUAGUCC